rnacentral:rRNA from 1 species
UACAGAGGGUGCGAGCGUUAAUCGGAAUUACUGGGCGUAAAGCGUGCGUAGACGGUUAUUUAAGUCGGGCGUGAAAGCCCCGGGCUCAACCUGGGAAUUGCGUUCGAUACUGGAUAGCUAGAGUUCGGCAGAGGGAAGCGGAAUUUCCGGUGUAGCGGUGAAAUGCGUAGAUAUCGGAAGGGACAUCAGUGGCGAAAGCGGCUUCCUGGACCAGAACUGACGAUCAGGCACGAAAGCGUGGGGAGCAAACAGG